AUCUCACUAGCUACCAACAUGUUUGUACAAAUUGUAUUGAUUUGGCUAUCAUCCACAUGGUCGUUGGCGAUGCCACCACCUCUAUGUGAGGCUGUAUAUGGUCCACAUCCUUCAGACAGGAAGAUUAUUACUGCUGGUGAGCCGUUUUACUUUGAUAAUUAUGUCUGCAGCUGUGAAGACUCCGGUAAUAAUUUAUAUACUGGUUUCGACGUGCCUAAAGCAGUAUGCACGCCUUACCCAACCCCGCCUGCACAGAUAUGUAUCUGUAGGGACGGGCUGGAGAUAUCCCCAGGAGAGACACAUUAUGUAACAGAUUGUGAAAUAUGUGAAUGCGUUGCAGGGUAUGGAGUAUCUACCAUUAUUGGUGAUUGUUUCUUCUUUGAAUGUGUUGAUUCUGUAGAUGUACCACAUGAUGGCAACUGUUGUCCAACCUGUCCUAAUGGUCCUAACUGUGAAGCUGUCCUCAAUGGAGUUACGCAUAUUAUUCCUGAUAAUGGUACAAUUAAUAUUGGUGAUAUUCCCUGCUCGUGUCUUCCUAUGGACUAUUCUUCGUUUGGUGGUGCCAGAAAAGCAAACUGUACGAUGGCUCUAAUUACAGCUCCCCCGAUACCAACAUCACCAACUGGUUCAGAACCAAUAAUAGGCUAGAUAAGGCAUGAGCGGUGGAUAAUUUAAAGAUAGUCUACACCACCGUAUAUAUCAUUAACUAAUAGUAUUAAAUAUACCAACCCUUAUACAUCAAUACCAUCAAUAAUAGUAUUAAAUACACUGCUUGCAAUCAGA